GUGCUUACUGUCUAUGUGUUUCUAUAUGGACGGUUAUAUAUGGUCUUGAGUGGAUUGGAAAAGCGAAUUCUGGAGGAUCCCACAGUUCGUCAGUCCAAAGCUCUUGAAGAGGCUAUGGCUCCCUCAUCUAUAUCUCAGCUGGGCUUGUUGCUUGUACUCCCUAUGGUAAUGGAAAUUGGGCUGGAGAGAGGAUUUCGCACGGCCCUGGGUGAUUUUGUAAUAAUGCAGCUGCAGCUUGCUUCUGUAUUUUUUACAUUCCAACUCGGAACAAAAGCACAUUAUUACGGUAGAACUAUCUUGCAUGGAGGUUCUAAAUAUCGAGCUACUGGUCGUGGCUUUGUUGUUUUUCAUGCAAAG
rnacentral:misc_RNA from 1 species